UAUGUGAUCGUCUCUCGCAUAUCAAUAAGCGGAGGAAAAGAAACUAACAAGGAUUCCCCUAGUAACGGCGAGUGAAGCGGGAAGAGCUCAAAUUUGAAAUCUUAAAGGGUUUCCCUUUACGAAUUGUAGUUUAAAGAAGUGUUUUCUGUUGAGGUUUUGGUAAAAGUUCUUUGGAAUAGGACAUCAUAGAGGGUGAGAAUCCCGUAUUUGACCUUUACUUUCAACUUUGUGAUACACUUUCAAAGAGUCGGAUUGUUUGGGAAUGCAGUCCAAAAUGGGUGGUAAAUUUCAUCUAAAGCUAAAUAUUGGCGAGAGACCGAUAGCGAACAAGUACCGUGAGGGAAAGAUGAAAAGAACUUUGAAAAGAGAGUUAAACAGUACGUGAAAUUGUCAAAAGGGAAGCGUUCGACACCAGUGUUGUUUUUCUGAAAAUCAAUUAAAGAACUGUUUAUGCUAAGUUGUUUAGACUUUAUCAGCUAUCUGUUUAGUUUUGAGCUUUUCUUUAAUGCACUUUUCAGUUAACAAGUCAACAUCAAUUUCUUUUGCUGUAAAAAAGCUUGAGGAAGGUGGCUUGAGAUUCGUCUUAAGUGUUUAUAGCCUCUUGCCUAUGCAGUCGGAGAGAUUGAGGUCUGCAGCGUAGAUCCUUCGGGGCUAAAUGCAUUUGUGCUAAGUUAUAGCAUUUUAUAGACAACUUGUUGACUAUGAUUUGUCUUGUAGCUUACUCGCUUAUGUUAUUUUACCUACGCUUAGGAUGUUGAAGUCAUCGUAUCGCGC
rnacentral:rRNA from 1 species